rfam:Siansivirga zeaxanthinifaciens CC-SAMT-1, complete genome.
AUAAUAGAGGAAAGAUUUGACUGAUUGCAACCUCUUCUGAUUGAUUUUUUUGAACAAAACAAUUCAUAAAUUAAAACAGAAUAAAAAAUGCUAAAGGCAGUGCG